UACGGAGGGGGCAAGCGUUGUUCGGAAUUACUGGGCGUAAAGGGCGCGCAGGCGGCUGCUCAAGUCAGGCGUGAAAGGCCUGGGCUCAACCCGGGAAUUGCGCUUGAGACUGGGCUGGCUUGAGUGCGGGAGAGGAUGGUGGAAUUCCCAGUGUAGAGGUGAAAUUCGUAGAUAUUGGGAAGAACACCGGUGGCGAAGGCGGCCAUCUGGACCGCAACUGACGCUGAGGCGCGAAAGCGUGGGGAGCGAACAGG
rnacentral:rRNA from 1 species